GCCGAGGUAGUCUAGCGGUAAGGCGCACGCCUGGAAAGCGUGUGGGCUGUAACGCCCUCGUGAGUUCGAAUCUCACCCUCGGCG
rnacentral:tRNA from 1 species